UACAGAGGGUGCAAGCGUUGUUCGGAAAUUACUGGGCGUAAAGCGCGUGUAGGCUGCGAUGUAAGUCAGGUGAUGAAAGCCCUCAGCUUAACUGAGGAAGUGCACUUGAUACUGCGUCGCUUGAGUGUCGGGAGGGGGUGGCGGAACUUCCCGGUGUAGAGGUGAAAUUCGUAGGAUAUCGGGAGGAACACCUGUGGCGAAGGCGGCCACCUGGACGACAACUGGACGCUGAGACGCGAAAGCGUGGGUAGCAAACAGG
rnacentral:rRNA from 1 species